rnacentral:rRNA from 1 species
CCUACGGGGGGCAGCAGUGAGGAAUAUUGGUCAAUGGGCGCGAGCCUGAACCAGCCAAGUAGCGUGAAGGAUGACUGCCCUACGGGUUGUAAACUUCUUUUAUAAAGGAAUAAAGUGAGGCACGUGUGCCUUUUUGUAUGUACUUUAUGAAUAAGGAUCGGCUAACUCCGUGCCAGCAGCCGCGGUAAUACGGAGGAUGCGAGCGUUAUCCGGAUUUAUUGGGUUUAAAGGGUGCGUAGGCGGUCCGUUAAGUCAGCGGUAAAAUUGCGGGGCUCAACCCCGUCGAGCCGUUGAAACUGGCAGACUUGAGUUGGCGAGAAGUACGCGGAAUGCGCGGUGUAGCGGUGAAAUGCAUAGAUAUCGCGCAGAACUCCGAUUGCGAAGGCAGCGUACCGGCGCCAGACUGACGCUGAGGCACGAAAGCGUGGGGAUCGAACAGGAUUAGAUACCCUUGUAGUC